rnacentral:rRNA from 1 species
GAGUUUGAUCCUGGCUCAGAUUGAACGCUGGCGGCAUGCCUAACACAUGCAAGUCGAACGGAAACGAUGCUAGCUUGCUAGCAGGCGUCGAGUGGCGGACGGGUGAGUAAUGCAUAGGAAUCUGCCUUUUAGUGGGGGAUAACGUGGGGAAACCCACGCUAAUACCGCAUAAUCUCUACGGAGGAAAGUGGGGGAUCUUCGGACCUCAUGCUGAAAGAUGAGCCUAUGUCAGAUUAGCUAGUUGGUGGGGUAAAGGCCUACCAAGGCGACGAUCUGUAGCUGGUUUGAGAGAAUGAUCAGCCACACUGGAACUGAGACACGGUCCAGACUCCUACGGGAGGCAGCAGUGGGGAAUAUUGGACAAUGGGGGCAACCCUGAUCCAGCAAUGCAGCGUGUGUGAAGAAGGCCUGCGGGUUGUAAAGCACUUUCAACUGGGAGGAAAAGCUGAGCGUUAAUAGCGUUUAGUCUUGACGUUACCAUUAGAAGAAGCACCGGCUAACUCCGUGCCAGCAGCCGCGGUAAGAGGGGGGGUGCAAGCGUUAAUCGGAAUUACUGGGCGUAAAGAGCGCGUAGGUGGUUUGUUAAGUCGGAUGUGAAAGCCCUGGGCUCAACCUGGGAAUGGCAUUCGAAACUGGCUGACUAGAGUAUGGUAGAGGGAAGUGGAAUUCCGGGUGUAGCGGGGAAAUGCGUAGAUAUCCGGAGGAACAUCAGUGGCGAAGGCGACUUCCUGGACCAAUACUGACACUGAGGUGCGAAAGCGUGGGUAGCAAACAGGAUUAGAUACCCUGGUAGUCCACGCCGUAAACGAUGUCAACUAGAUGUUGGGAUAUAAAAAAGGUUAGUGUCGAAGCUAACGCGAUAAGUUCUCCGCCUGGGGAGUACGGCCGCAAGGUUAAAACUCAAAGCAAUUGACGGGGGCCCGCACAAGCGGUGGAGCAUGUGGUUUAAUUCGAUGCAACGCGAAGAACCUUACCAUCCCUUGACAUCCAGAGAAUCUGUUAGAAAUAGUAGAGUGCCUUCGGGAACUCUGAGACAGGUGCUGCAUGGCUGUCGUCAGCUCGUGUCGUGAGAUGUUGGGUUAAGUCCCGCAACGAGCGCAACCCUUAUCUUUAGUUACCAGCACUUCGGGUGGGAACUCUAAAGAGACUGCCGGUGACAAGCCGGAGGAAGGUGGGGACGACGUCAAGUCAUCAUGGCCCUUACGGGAUGGGCUACACACGUGCUACAAUGGUUGAUACAGAGGGUCGCGAAGCCGCGAGGUGGAGCUAAUCUCAGAAAGUCAAUCGUAGUCCGGAUUGGAGUCUGUAACUCGACUCCAUGAAGUCGGAAUCGCUAGUAAUCGCAGAUCAGAAUGCUGCGGUGAAUACGUUCCCGGGCCUUGUACACACCGCCCGUCACACCAUGGGAGUGGGUUGCUCCAGAAGUGGCUAGUCUAACCUUAGGGAGGACGGUCACCACGGAGUGGUUCAUGACUGGGGUGAAGUCGAAACAAGGUAACC